UCUUGAGGGAGAUGGGCCUGACUCCUAGGAGCUAAGCAGGGUAGACCCAAGUCACAGUGUUUGGAAAGUAAAUAAUGGGAAUAGCAAGAAGCCCCAGAUGGAAUUCAGAACUGGAUUCAUGCACUUUUGAGGUUCAGAGGCUUUCAGAUCUUACAGAAGGGGCCAAACCCAAAUCCAAUAUAAACAGGAAAUUAUGAUCAGCUACUACAGUACCAACACCUUUACUGAGCUCCAAUUUGCUUUUAUCUCAAUAAAUGUCAGCUUUCAGGAAUAACAGAAACUUUGAAAGCCAGAUCUACAAGAGGGCUCCCAAUCAGUGACAUCAGUUUUUGAACUUGUCAACUUGUGUCCUUCUUUGGAACCAUGUUUUUCGGAGACCAAGAGCAGUAUUCAUCUGAGUUUUUCCUCAAUGAAUCUUGAGUUUGAUAUUCUGCUCUUCUAAUAUGUGUAGCAAAAUUCCAUGUCAAGGAUAUUUUUCUUCCUUGUAGAGAAAUUAGAAUAUAGGUCU